rnacentral:rRNA from 1 species
GACGAACGCUGGCGGCGUGCUUAACACAUGCCAGUCGAACGGAAAGGCCCUGCUUUUGUGGGGUGCUCGAGUGGCGAACGGGUGAGUAACACGUGAGUAACCUGCCCUUGACUUUGGGAUAACUUCAGGAAACUGGGGCUAAUACCGGAUAGGAGCUCCUGCUGCAUGGUGGGGGUUGGAAAGUUUCGGCGGUUGGGGAUGGACUCGCGGCUUAUCAGCUUGUUCGUGGGGUAGUGGCUUACCAAGGCUUUGACGGGUAGCCGGCCUGAGAGGGUGACCGGCCACAUUGGGACUGAGAUACGGCCCAGACUCCUACGGGAGGCAGCAGUGGGGAAUAUUGCACAAUGGGCGGAAGCCUGAUGCAGCAACGCCGCGUGCGGGAUGACGGCCUUCGGGUUGUAAACCGCUUUCGCCUGUGACGAAGCGUGAGUGACGGUAAUGGGUAAAGAAGCACCGGCUAACUACGUG